GAUGAACGCUGGCGGCGUGCCUAAUACAUGCAAGUCGAGCGAACCACUUCGGUGGUGAGCGGCGAACGGGUGAGUAACACGUAGGUGAUCUGCCCAUCAGACGGGGACAACGAUUGGAAACGAUCGCUAAUACCGGAUAGGACGAAAGUUUAAAGGUGCUUCUGGCACCGCUGAUGGAUGAGCUCGCGGCGCAUUAGCUAGUUGGUAGGGUAAAGGCCAGCCAAGGCGAGGAUGCGUAGCCGACCUGAGAGGGUGAACGGCCACACUGGGACUGAGACACGGCCCAGACUCCUACGGGAGGAAGCAGUAGGGAAUCUUCGGCAAUGGGCGAAAGCCUGACCGAGCAACGCCGCGUGAAUGAUGAAGGCCUUCGGGUUGUAAAAUUCUGUUAUAAGGGAAGAACGACUUUAGUAGGAAAUGGCUAGAGUGUGACGGUACCUUAUGAGAAAGCCACGGCUAACUACGUGCCAGCCGCCGCAGUAACAC
rnacentral:rRNA from 1 species